rnacentral:rRNA from 1 species
UGGGGAAUAUUGCACAAUGGGCGAAAGCCUGAUGCAGCAACGCCGCGUGAGUGAUGAAGGCCUUCGGGUUGUAAAGCUCUGUCUUUUGGGACGAUAAUGACGGUACCAAAGGAGGAAGCCACGGCUAACUACGUGCCAGCAGCCGCGGUAAUACGUAGGUGGCAAGCGUUGUCCGGAUUUACUGGGCGUAAAGGAUGCGUAGGCGGAUUUUUAAGUGAGAUGUGAAAUACCCGGGCUUAACUUGGGUGCUGCAUUUCAAACUGGGAAUCUAGAGUGCGGGAGAGGAGAAUGGAAUUCCUAGUGUAGCGGUGAAAUGCGUAGAGAUUAGGAAGAACACCAGUGGCGAAGGCGAUUCUCUGGACCGUAACUGACGCUGAGGCAUGAAAGCGUGGGUAGCAAACAGGAUUAGAUACCCUGGUAGCUCCACAGCCGUAAACGAUGAGUAGCUAGGUGUAGGAGGUAUCGACCCCUUCUGUGCCGCAGUUAACACAAUAAGUACUCCGCCUGGGAAGUACGAUCGCAAGAUUAAAACUUAAAUGAAUUGACGGGGUCAUAGC